rnacentral:rRNA from 1 species
AACGAACGCUGGCGGCAGGCUUAACACAUGCAAGUCGAGCGCCCCGCAAGGGGAGCGGCAGACGGGUGAGUAACGCGUGGGAACGAACCCUUUGCUACGGAAUAGCUCCGGGAAACUGGAAUUAAUACCGUAUGUGCCCUACGGGGGAAAGAUUUAUCGGCAAAGGAUCGGCCCGCGUUGGAUUAGCUAGUUGGUGGGGUAAUGGCCUACCAAGGCGACGAUCCAUAGCUGGUCUGAGAGGAUGAUCAGCCACAUUGGGACUGAGACACGGCCCAAACUCCUACGGGAGGCAGCAGUGGGGGAUAUUGGACAAUGGGCGCAAGCCUGAUCCAGCCGUGCCGCGUGAGUGAUGAAGGCCUUAGGGUUGUAAAGCUCUUUCACCGGAGAAGAUAAUGACGGUAUCCGGAGAAGAAGCCCCGGCUAACUUCGUGCCAGCCGCCGCCGUAAGAC